rnacentral:lncRNA from 1 species
AAAUAAAUUGCGAAGUCGAAGUCGAAGCAUUCAAAAAUCAAAACUGCAACAUUAAUACCUCAACCAUUCAAAAGCCAACAUAGUCGAAACAAUCAAUAUGAAUAUAGAUGAUAAAUAGAAUAUACCCAAAUUACUAAUUAGUAGUGUUAAAAAGUUUGAAACAAAAAAAAGAAGGAAGAAGAUCAACCACAUCCAAAUCCAGUACCAAAACAACUUAAACGAAUUGUGAUUGCUUAACUAAACUAUACAUGAAU